AUGCCCUCCAAGAAUGAGGAUUUUUCCAAUGCAUUAGGUUGGGUCCCCUCAGUGAGAAGGAUGCCAAAGAUUCGCAUGCAGGCAGUAUAUUUACAAAGUGCGGGAAACAAGCAAGCUGGUCGCACCCGGUGCAGGAGUCAGCCCCAGUCAGGACACAGCACGGACGUGAGGGCCCCCACUCAGCUCCUGGGGCUCCUGGGGCUCUGGCUGCCAGGUGCCAGAUGUGACAUCCAGAUGACCCAGUCUCCAUCCUCCCUGUCUGCAUCUGUAGGAGGCAGAGUCACCAUCACUUGCCGGGCGAGUCAGGGCAUUAGCAAUAAUUUAAAUUGGUAUCAGCAGAAACCAGGGAAAACUCCUAAGCUCCUGAUCUAUGCUGCAUCCAGUCUGCAAAGUGGGAUUCCCUCUCGGUUCAGUGACAGUGGAUCUGGGACAGAUUACACUCUCACCAUCAGCAGCCUGCAGCCUGAAGAUUUUGCAGCUUAUUACUGUCAACAGAGUGACAGUACCCCUCCCACAGUGUUACAAGUCAUAACAUAA